ensembl:lncRNA
CCCCCUCCCUCCCCACAGAGGAGGAGACAUACCGGGAUACCAAACCCCCCCCCCACAGAUGAGGACACCUAACCGGGAUACCAAACCCCCCUCCCCACAGAUGAGGACACCUAACCGGGAUACCAACCCCUCCCUCCCCACAGAGGAGGAGACCUAACUGGGAUACCAAAACCCCCCCUCCCCACAGAGGAGGACACCUAACUGGGAUACCAAACCCCCUCCCUCCUCACUAAAAAAAUAUAAUAUUUCAUGUUUAGCUUCUGCUUCUCUGCAUGGAGCCUACGGUAGUAUUACCCUCAAUAAGAAAAUGGUGACUUCCAUAUUGCUAUUCAUUUUUACAGCAUUUAUGUAUUUUUAAUUUGUAUUAUAUACAUAUUAUGGCCUAUACAGAACAAAAUUGAAACACGGAACAAAAUGUGCAUAGAAAAACAAAAUAGUCAAAUGAGUUUUCUAGUGCCUUGAACUUUAACCCUCUUAUUUAUGUCCUACAUACUCAAACGGAAGUGCCUCCCUGGACUAUAGUCAAUUAGAUCAGAUCCUCUAUACCGGUCACGAGAUGCAUUAUUAUAGUACCAACCAACCUGCACAGUCAGAAGAGGGUAACAGGUAAACAGUAAUAUAGAAUAUGUCGUUAAUGGUUCCCAGUACAGACUGUAAUAUAGGGCCUGAGGACAGAGAGGAACCACACACACACACAGCUGUCCAGGAGGAGAGAGAGAGACAGAGAGAGAGGGGGGGGGAGAGAGAGAAAGAAGAUGAGUGAGAGAGUGAACUUGACAGAAACAAAUAUGGAAUGGCAUCCACUGACCCUUGAUGUGGGAAGUUCAACAGAGGCCACGUUCUAGAGCGGUCACAUGGUUCUAGAGUGUUCACAUGGUUCUAUAGAGUUCACAUGCAUGGUUCUAGAGUGUUCACAUGGUUCUAUAGAGUUCACAUGGUUGUAGAGCGGUCACAUGGUUCUAGAGUGUUCACAUGGUUCUAGAGUGUUCACAUGGUUGUAGAGCGGUCACAUGGUUCUAGAGUGUUCACAUGGUUCUAUAGAGUUCACGUGGUUGUAGAGCGGUCACGUGGUUGUAGAGCGGUCACGUGGUUGUAGAGCGGUCACGUGGUUGUAGAGCGGUCACAUGGUUCUAGAGUGUUCACAUGGUUCUAGAGCGGUCACAUGGUUCUAGAGUGUUCACAUGGUUCUAGAGUGUUCACGUGGUUGUAGAGCGGUCACAUGGUUCUAGAGUGUUCACAUGGUUGUAGAGCGGUCACAUGGUUCUAGAGUGUUCACAUGGUUCUAUAGAGUUCACGUGGUUGUAGAGCGUUCACGUGGUUCUAGAGCAGUCACAUGGUUCUAGAGUGUUCACAUGGUUGUAGAGCGGUCACAUGGUUCUAGAGUGUUCACAUGGUUCUAGAGUGUUCACAUGGUUCUAGAGUGGUCACAUGGUUCUAGAGUGUUCACAUGGUUCUAGAAUGUUCACAUGCUUCUAGAGUGUUCACAUGGUUCUAGAGUUUUCACAUGGUUCUAGGGUGUUCAAAUGGUUCUAGAGUGGUCACGUGGUUGUAGAUUCUAUCCAUCCAUCCUCUGUUUGUCUGCCUGUUAAGUCUGUUGUGUGACAACAAACAAAACCCUUUUGUAUAGAAACAGCCUUCCAUUGUGCCCAGCGAUCACCUUCCAACUCUAAGAGAUGUGUUUCUGGGGCAUUACUGAAUCAAGACCUUCUGGCAUAUCCAAACUUGCACCAACUGUUGUUGUCGUUCACUAAACGAUAAUAACAACAAGCAUCGAUAUUCUGCUAAAAGUGACUGAACAGUGCCCAUGUCUCUGGCUGUAUUAUGGGAAUGAUAGUGUAUUUGACAUCGUCACAGACAUACCUGUCUAAACAACGAGCUCUACUGCACUAGUAAGUCCCCGACCGUCCCCUUCCACACUCACCCCUGUCUGUCUCCCUGUCUGGCUGUUUGUUUGUUUGUUUGCCUACCUUCCUGCCUGCCUGCCUGCCUGCCUGCCUGCCUGCCUGCCUGCCUGUCUGUCUGUCUGUCUGUCUGUCUGUCUGUCUGUCUGUCUGUCUGUCUGUCUGUCUGUCUGUCUGUCUGUCUGUCUGUCUGUCUGUCUGCCUGUCUGCACAGAGCUACUCAGCAUUCAUCUCAACAUGAUGUCUGCGUCCCAAAUGACACCGUAGUCCCUGUUUAAUGCACUACUUUAGACCAGGACCCACAGGGUGCCAUUUGGGAGGCAGAAAAGAGCAUUAUGAACGUUAUGAAAGCCAAAGGCAUUAGUCACUUUGCAUGCAAACAAAAUGGCAGCCCUCCGCUUCUGUUUUGGAUGACAAGAGAAAGAGCAUAGGAGAGAUGGAAAGAAGUAGAGAGGGAGUGAGGGAGUGAGGGAGUGAGGGAGUUGGAGCACGACAGAGUGCCAGCCGGGCGGGAUGUAGGAAGGAAGGAGGGAGAGGAAAUUAAUGCUGUGUUGUAACGUUUCAUGUUUCAGCUGGCUGUAGAGGCUUACCUGCUAUGUUGUAACGUUAUAUGUUUCAGCUGGCUGUAGAGGCUUACCUGCUAUGUUGUAACGUUAUAUGUUUCAGCUGGCUGUAGAGGCUUAGCUGCUAUGUUGUAACAUUAUAUGUUUCAGCUGGCUGUAGAGGCUUAGCUGCUAUGUUGUAACGUUAUAUGUUUCAGCUGGCCGUAGAGGCUUACCUGCUAUGUUGUAACGUUAUAUGUUUCAGCUGGCUGUAGAGGCUUAGCUGCUAUGUUGUAACGUUAUAUGUUUCAGCUGGCUGUAGAGGCUUAGCUGCUAUGUUGUAACGUUAUAUGUUUCAGCUGGCUGUAGAGGCUUAGCUGCUAUGUUGUAACAUUAUAUGUUUCAGCUGGCUGUAGAGGCUUAGCUGCUAUGUUGUAACAUUAUAUGUUUCAGCUGGCUGUAGAGGCUUAGCUGCUAUGUUGUAACAUUAUAUGUUUCAGCUGGCUGUAGAGGCUUACCUGCUAAGAUGUUUGACACCAUGGAUGGACAGUACAGUGUAGUACGACUAUUUAUUUAGUCCUGCUCUUGAUAAUAUGUAUGAUGAGACACAUACCAACUUGCCUUUGGCUUGAAUGAGAGACACAGUCAAAAGAGGCACUUGAAGACUGUAUGUUUUUAAUUGGCUGGUUUUCAGACCUAUAUGAUAAAAAUAUAGAUUGUGCCCUUGUUAAUUGAAAGCAUCCUUUUAAACUGGUUUCCACGUUGGGAUAGUUCCAGUACCAGCUGCCUAAAGCACUAGAAUGUUCUAUAUUAGUUUAUUUAGAUUCUCACUAGAUUGUUCUAUAUUUGUUUAUUUAGUUUCUCACUACAUUGUUCUAUGUUCUAUAUUUGUUUAUUUAGUUUCUCACUACAUUGUUCUAUGUUCUAUAUUUGUUUAUUUAGUUGACCGCUUGCAGAGUGAUAAAGGGUGUAGAUAUAGGGUGUUAAUCUGAUAUGAUUCAACCCCUCUCCAAUACAGUUUUAUUAUAGGGUGUUAUCUAAAUGAUUCAACCCCUCUCCAAUACAGUUUUAUUAUAGGGUGUUCAUCUGAUAUGAUUCAACCCCUCUCCAAUACAGUUUUAUUAUAGGGUGUUCAUCUAAAUGUUUCAACCCCU